rnacentral:misc_RNA from 1 species
GAACGCACAUUGCGCCCCUUGGUAUUCCAUGGGGCAUGCCUGUUCGAGCGUCAUUUGUACCCUCAAGCUUUGCUUGGUGAUGGGUGUUUGUUCCGCUGCAACGCGUGAACUCGCCUCAAAUCAAUUGGCAGCCGGCAAUCUGGUGUUUGAGCGCAGCACAUUUUGCGCUCUUCGCUGUGUAUUGCGGGCGUCCAUGAAGCCUAUAUUUUCGCGCUUGACCUCGGAUCAGGUAGGGAUACCCGCUGAACUUAAG